AACGAACGCUGGCGGCAGGCCUAACACAUGCAAGUCGAACGCCCUAGCAAUAGGGAGUGGCGCACGGGUGAGUAACGCGUGGGAACGUGCCUUUCAGUCUGGAAUAACUGCGGGAAACUGCAGCUAAUACCGGAUAUUCUCUACGGAGGAAAGGUUUAUCGCUGAAAGAUCGGCCCGCGUUAGAUUAGGUAGUUGGUGGGGUAAUGGCCUACCAAGCCUACGAUCUAUAGCGGGUCUGAGAGGAUGUUCAGCCACACUGGAACUGAGACACGGUCCAGACUCCUACGGGAGGCAGCAGUGGGGAAUAUUGGACAAUGGGCGCAAGCCUGAUCCAGCCAUGCCGCGUGAGUGACGAAGGCCUUAGGGUUGUAAAGCUCUUUUGUCAGGGAAGAUAAUGACGGUACCUGAAGAAUAAGACACGGCUAACUUCGUGCCAGCCGCCGCCGUAA
rnacentral:rRNA from 1 species